rnacentral:rRNA from 1 species
UACAGAGGCCACAAGCGUUAGUCGGAAUUACUGGGCUUAAAGGGUGCGUAGGCGGCCUCUCAAGCGUCCUGUGAAAGCCUCCCGCUCAACGGGAGAACAGCAGGGCGAACUGGGAGGCUCGAAGUUGGUAGGGGCUCACAGAACAGUCGGUGGACCGGUGAAAUGGGUAGAGAUCGACUGGAAUGCCGAUGGCGAAGGCGGUGAGCUGGGCCAAUCUUGACGCUGAGGCACGAAAGCGUGGGGAGCAAACAGGAUUAGAAACCCUAGUAGU